UGUGCAGGAAUUCAGUUUGGAGAAGGUUUUCUCGACAAUCAGAGGACGGUCAAGUCGGCUGGCAGAUCACCAGAAACUCUUUCUGGAAUAGAUUUUCAAGACGCCCAAACAACUCGACUGACCUCAGAGUCAGUUAUUUAAAUAAUGCAGAAGUGUUCGUCGGUGAGAAAAAAGUCAACAAGCAGUAUUAUCCAUCACCAAAGAAUAACCAAAGACGACCUGCGCUGCCCACACCAG